GACGAACGCUGGCGGCGUGCUUAACACAUGCAAGUCGAACGGAAAGGCCCUGCUCUUGUGUGGUGCUCGAGUGGCGAACGGGGGAGUAACACGUGUGUAUCCUGCCCUUGUCUUUGGGAUAUCACCAGGGAACUGGGGCUAUUACUGCGUAGGAGAUCUUGAUGCAUGGUGGUGGAUGGUAAAAUACGGCGUUUGGGUAUGGACUCGCGGCUUAUCAGCUUGUUGGUGGGGUUGUGGAUUACCAAGGCUCUGAAGGGUAGCCGGCCUGUGAGGGUGACCGGCCACAUUGGGACUGAGAUACGACCCAGACUCCUACGGGAGGCAGCAGGGGGAGUUAUUGCAGAAUAGGCGGGAGCCUGAUGCAGCAGCGCCGCGUCCGGGAUGACGGGUUUCGGGUUGUAAACCUCUGUCGACUGAGACGAAGAGAUAGUGACGGUAAUUUGUAAAGAAGCAACGGCUAACUACGUG
rnacentral:rRNA from 1 species